CUGUUUGCUUUAAGUCUUACCCACUGACUGUGUCACCUGAUAAAGUUAUGAAAUGUUCCUGUUCACAGUCAUGAGGGAAUCUGACACAAAUUCCUGUCGCUUCCUUGUUGUUGUUGUUGUUGUUGUUGUCGGUAGUCUCAGUUCAAGUUUCUAUCAACUACAGUCAAGUGUAUAAUAUAUAAAUAGGUGACUAAUAACAGAGAGUAGAUAAGAGUUAGGUUAGGGAAUUUGUUGUGGACUAGGUGUGACAGUAAAACUGAUGUUUAAACAGCUGGAUGGGUGUAAUCCCUGCGUCUCUGCCCUGUUAGACAGCUCUCCAGAGCGCAGGCGCCAUCAUGCUUAUUCCCAUCCACCCCUUCUAGGAAGCGGCUAGGGCGGCGGGGUUGGGGAGCAUGUGUGUGUGUGUCUGAAGGUUUUUGGAUUGGAGAUGCAGAAAGAAGGGGUAGUUUCGAGGAAGUGACGGACGAGGCUCAGAGGACUGGUCAGAGGAAGUUUGGUCGAUGGUGGUACCGUGCUGCUGAACCAAACUUUCCCCCCCCUUGAGCAGCGGCGGCGGCACCGUGGAUCGUGGAUCGGACGGAUCCAGCGGCGGAGGGAGCUUUUGUUUCCUUGCCACUACCAGCACUGAGGAAUAACUUAAGGUUGGGAGGGUAACAAAAAUAAUAAUAAUAAAAGGUGGGGGAAUCGCAGAGGAAUUCUACUCCCGCAACCAAGCCCCCCUUUUUCUUCUCUUCCCCGCGCCUCCUCCGUGUUUUUCUGGGAUCCGCGAUGGGGAAGGAGCAGGAACUUCUGGAAGCGGCGCGGACGGGAAACCUAGCCGCAGUGGAGAAGCUUUUAUCCGGGAAGCGACAGUCCGCCGGCACUGGCAGCGGGUCGUCUGGUACUGGUGGAUACGGCAACAGCGGCGGGCACGGCGCCUCCUCUCAUCCGCUCUCCAGUCUGCUCAGAAAUGUUCAACAAUGCAAGUGGAAAACUACGGAAGCCUUGGGUGGCCAUACAUUCACUAUCUGGAGGGGCCCCAAUGUGAAUUGUGUGGACAGCACUGGAUACACCCCUCUCCACCACGCCGCCCUUAAUGGACACAGCGAGGUGGUGGAGGCGCUGCUACGAAACGAGGCCUUGACAAACAUCGCCGACAACAAGGGCUGCUACCCUCUCCACCUGGCUGCGUGGAAGGGAGAUGAACAUAUUGUCAAACUGCUUAUUCACCAAGGACCUUCACACCCCAAACUCAACGAGCAGAGCUCUGUAGACCAUAAAGAGUUCAAACGCUGUGGGCCCUUUGACCCCUAUAUUAAUGCCAAGAACAAUGACAACGAAACGCCACUGCACUGUGCCGCCCAGUAUGGCCACUCCCAGGUGGUGCGGUUGCUGCUUGAGGAGCUGACAGACCCCACCAUGAGGAACAAUAAGUUCGAGACUCCGCUGGACCUGGCCGCACUGUACGGCCGCCUGGAGGUCGUCAAGCUGCUGCUCAGUGCCCACCCCAAUCUGCUCAGCUGCAACACCAAGAAACACACGCCGUUGCAUCUGGCCUCUCGGAACGGACACCUGUCUGUGGUGGAGGUGCUGCUGGAUGCUGGCAUGGACAUCAACUACGAGACGGAGAAAGGCAGUGCCCUCCAUGAAGCAGCCUUGUUUGGGAAGGCAGAUGUGGUACAGAAACUUCUCAGUGCAGGUAUCGAUGUGAACAUCGUCGAUCAAAAGGGCCUGGCGGCGCUGGACACUGUCAAGGACAUGCCCUCCCAGAAGAGCAGAGAGAUAGUUGCUCUCAUCCUAGGUCACAUGACUGGAAAACCCCCUGACAUUAACCUUCCCCCUCCACCAGUCCCUCCGCCACAGGAGAGUCCCAGCCCACGGAAAAAGGGCGAUCUAGAGAAGGUGAGUGAGUUGAUCUCGGGGCUGGCCCCGGAGGAGGAGAGCCCGUACGAGGCUCUGUUCGAAGCCACCUCUUGCCACUCUCUGGACAGCCUCACCAGCGGCAAGUCCUCUGACAGGGACUCCGGACGGCCGGAUAGUGAAGCCGGCAAGAAAGAUCGCACCGUCCACUCAUCACAUCCUGGGCCUGGUCAUGAAGAAGAGGCACUGUAUACUAAUAGCAAGCCGAUGGAGGAGGAGGAGGAUCACACGUAUGAGUUGUUGCUGACUGCACAGACCAAAGUCCCACCACCCAGCCAAGAGUCCCAAUCCAAUAAAGAUGAGAACACCACUACACAGUCUUCCGAUAGUGUCCUACCUCAGCGUAAACCCACUGCCCCAAACGACCUCAGAGCCCCAAGCAAGACGAAAGACACUCUGCACCCUCCUGGACGGGCGGGCCCACAGGUGCCAGGAGAUAUCUCCCAGCUCAGCCAGGAUCAAGGAGCAGGUGUCCCGGAGCAGUUCACUGGCCUCUUGCACGGAUCCUCCCCAGUCUUCGACUGCCGCGACGAGCCUUUCAGGCUUCCAGGUGCUCAGCCGCCCAGCCAGAGCCAGUCAGAAUCAAGAAAACCCACCAAAGUAAAGGAGGAAGUAGCAGCAGCAGCAGCCGCAGCGACACUGCCACCCAGCCGUCCCAGCAUGGCCGCCAUCCUAACAGACUGUGACCCAAAAGCAAUUUAUGCAACUGUGAACAAGGAGCCCAGAGACUCAGGAGCCGGGGCAGUGUCUGCCGUCAGGAUGCGCCCUCCUGGGGAUCUGAAGCUGGCACGCAGCCUCUCCAAGUCUGACUCUGACUUGCUCGUGUCUCCUCCUAGUGAGGAGGAAGGAGGACUAGGAAACCGUAGCGAGUCUGUAUCUAACUGUAGCACUGGCAAGAAGAGGCUUGAGAAGUCUCCUUCUUUCACCUCAGAAUGGGAUGAGCAGACACAGAUGACGUCUUCCACCACAAAACAACGAAGAUCUAAAUCCUAUGACAGCAUCGAGAAGAUCAUGACACUGAUUGGCGCUGGCAUCGAUUUCUCCAGAGAUCAGCAAUACGCUACACCAGGUGCUGCAGGUCGAUUGCUGGAACAGCCCGUCGGAGACUGGCUGGAGCAUGUGGGGCUGCCGCAGUACGAGAGCAAACUACUCCUGAAUGGUUUUGACGACCUGCACUACAUGGGGAGCAAUGUAAUGGAGGACCAGGACUUGAGAGAGAUUGGAAUCACAGACCCAAGCCACAGGAAGAAGAUCCUACAUGCAGCACGUUCGUUACCCAAGGUGAAGGCGCUGGGCUGUGAUGGCAGCAGCUCCCUUUCCUCCUGGCUGGAGAAUCUGGGCCUGCAUGAGUACUUGCACAACUUCCUGGCCAGUGGCUACCGCUCUUUAGACUGUGUGAAAAACCUGUGGGAACUGGAGAUUGUCAAUGUGCUAAAGAUCUCCCUACUUGGUCAUAGGAAACGCAUCAUUGCGUCCUUAGCGGAGAGGCCUUAUGAGGAGCCUCCAGUCAAGCCUCCUCGUUUGUCUCAGAUCAGGUGCCAAGACCUGCCUGGAUCCCAGACCUCGUCUCCCCUCAGUCAGAUGGAAUCCUACACGGGACGCUCAAUGGACCCUCUGCUGCCAAUAGGAGACUCGGGGAGGAAAAAAGCCCCAGAUACUGACUACGAUGUGACCCAAAGAUAUCGCAGUGAACACAGAUCACAUGAAUGGUACGAAGAACGGCAUCGAGAGCCCCGUCUGACGUUGAGGCCGCCUAGUCUGGCAGCGCCGUACGCCCCGGUCCAGAACUGGCAUCAUCAACCCGAGAAACUCAUCUUUGAAUCAUGCGCCUAUGAAGCCAGUUAUCUCGGUUCCAUGCUUAUUAAAGAUCUACGGGGUACCGAGUCCACGCAGGAUGCCUGUGCCAAAAUGCGGAGGUCGACAGAACAAAUGAGAAAAGUCCCCACCAUCGUCCUCUCCAUCACUUACAAGGGUGUGAAGUUCAUUGAUGCGGCCAAUAAGAACAUCAUCGCAGAGCAUGAGAUCCGUAACAUUUCGUGUGCAGCCCAGGAUCCAGAAGACUUGUGCACGUUUGCCUACAUCACUAAGGACCUGCAGACCAGCCACCACUACUGCCAUGUGUUCAGCACAGUAGACGUGAACCUGACCUAUGAGAUUAUACUGACGCUCGGACAGGCGUUUGAGGUAGCCUAUCAGCUGGCUCUGCAGGCCCAGAGGACCAAACAUCAGAACCUCCCAGUGGGACCCGGCUUAGAUGUCAUUGAGACCAAGUCCAGCCGACCUGUACCCAAACCACGAGGCAGUGUUCGGAAAUCAGCGAUUCUCAUCCACAUCGCAUCUGAUGUUGUCUCUUGAGAUACAGCGCGGGAAGAAGCGUCGUGCAUGCCUGAGCCAUCCUCUACACUGAUCCCCUGUUAUGUCCUCACAGGCAGCGUCCAUUGCAGUCAUGAGAGCCCUCUGGUUUUCCGCAUGGUGUUCAUACACUCUCCAUCUCCAAGCAGAGAAAAACUCCUCGAUAGGAUUGAGGAAUGGAGAGUAUGGUGGCAAGAACACAUUGUGCAUUCUUGGAUGCAUGUUGAACCAUCCCCGGAUGCGUGGACCCCGGUGGAAACUAACGUUGUCCCAUAUAAUUACAAACUGGGGUAGGUGGGGCCCUUCGAGACCCCUCUCAUUUUCUGGGACCAGAUCAAGAUACAGUUGAUCCAGGAAACGGAGGAGUUUAUCUGUGUUGUAUGGGCCCAAACUUGCAUUGUGGGUGGCCACACCAUUUUCUGAGAUGGCCGCGCACAUGGUUAUACACGCCUCCUUCGUUAGUCAAAAACUUAUUUCACCUAACCUGAUUAUCCUAAAUUUACUAUAACAUCUUCCAAAAUAUGUACUGUAUUCUAUUCCAGUUUCCUAACACUAUUUUGACAAUUGAGCAGACUAUUCUGCAUAUGAUGACUUAUACGAUGAAAAUGUGCUGACAUGUUUUGAGGACAAUAACCAUGACACUGAAAACCAACCAAUUGGGAUAGAUCAGCAAGAUACAUUCAUUUGAAAAAUGUACUAAAUGUUGGCUGAUUGUGUUAACUGUAGGAUACUUGUACAUAGCUAUUUGCAAGGAUGUACUAAAGGCUUGACACAUGUACAAAGCAUUUGGAAAUGUGAUGAAAGCAAUGAUAAAUGCCAUUCUGUUGUGAGAAACUGCAAGAUAGUUUGGGGAUUUGUCCAUGUUGUUAUGAGAAUGUCAUCUCAGUUUCAAGAAAUGAGCCAAACCAAUGGAGAAAAACUGUAACACCGUCAGCAUUUGGAGCAGCAGCAGGGGAUGUGACACACGGCUCAUGGAGGGGGACAUCGUGGAGCAGGAGGGGGAUUCUCAGGGCAGCGCCACGUGGCUCGUAGACCCCAAGGAAUCCAAGCGCACUAUCAGCACUAACUGAACACUGUGGCCACUCCCAGCCAGUAAGAAUGGACAGGAAUGAGCUGUGUUGCAUGGUGGGUAGGAUGUUUUGUUGGAAAGGUGACCCACUUCCCAUGUGGAGAGAGAGAUACACACACCACCAGUUGGAUCGCGCUCACCACACAGUAACACUCGGGGGGCCUGGAGACAAACCGACGUAAAGCUUUUUAACGCUGCACGAUCCAUUGCUUCAUCUGACCUCAGCGACUUCAUCACAUACACACACACACACACACACACACUUCCUGUUCGUCAAGCAGUGAUGGUUGUCCCAGUCAGAUGUUUUUGUUUUGCUGUUUGAAUUCCAUGAUAAAUGAACGGUUGCCUCCUAACACCGAUCAGGCCUCCCUCAUAGAGAGUUGGUGCUCUUUCAGGAAAUGUACCUGCAAUGGUUCGUUGCUGUUAAAGAGGAAGUGGCUGAGAUAAGGAACAUAUAUAUUUUUUUUUUAUUAUGAUACAAAGGUACAUCAGACAGAGACCUCAUACUGUAGGUACACACUCCUUCCUGGAAUAUUCGUCCUGUUAUCCACGCAUAGUUGCGUCUCUCCAUGACCAUCAGCUUCUCAUCCACAAACAUACUGUACAUGUGUAACUGUGAUAAACAAAGUAAUCUUGCAUGGGAGGAACUCUCUAACCAAACUCAAAGGGCAGUGGAACUGACACUACAAAGACUUUUUAUAAUAAUAACAGGGGGUGGCUUUUAUUUGAUUUGAAAGUUUUCUCUCUUUUUUUUUUUGUAUGUUUUAAUUGUUUUAUAGGACAAUUACGUGUUCGAAUGCUGGAACUGAAUCGGGUGUGGUUCACUGCAGCUCCCUCUCUCUUCUUCCCUGCUCCCUUUGUUCAGUUAAUCUAGGCAAGAUUAUUCAUCAAACCUGCCAUGCAGGCUGGUAUGCGUUUAGAUUUUAGCUGCAGAACAGAACAAUAGGGCACAGCAUGUUUCUCCUUGCCAGUAUGUUGACUGUUAAUGGUACUUCUUGGCUUAGCCGAUGUGUAUAUGGGUACAUAGUCAGGUGGUUUGAUUUAACUGUAUUUGUGGUACGAUGUCAGGCCAGUACGAUAACUCUAUGGUACACUGUCUUUAGCUCGCUGGUGUCGGCACCUUCAGCCAUCAGCCUGGUCCCGUUCUGCUUUUGCACAUUGCUAAUCAUCAGGAGAGAUAUUUUGGGACUAAUCUGAUGACAAAUAUAAUGAGAAUGAUAAUGUACACGAAUCCAGCAGUCUGUAUUUUGAUACUUGAAUGAUUUUUGCAUAUAUAUUAUAUAUAAUAUAUCUAAUAUAUAUAUAUAUAUAUAUGUAUAUAUGUGUAUGUGUGUGUGUGUGUGUGUGUGUGUGUGUGUGUAUGUAUGUAUGUAUGUAUGUAUGUAUGUAUGUAUGUACGUAUGUAUGUAAUUUUUGACAUUUGUCAAGAGAGAAAAGGACUGUCUUAUAAAACAUAUCGUGAAUAAAUACCCUGUGAUUUAAAAAACAAAACAAACAAAGGCUGAGAAAACAAUGACUCAGAAGAGGGACCUCACUUCAGAAAAAAAAAUAUUGUAAAUAAUCUUGGGCUUCCAGUCUUUUUUAUGAUUAUUUUUCAUAAUUGUACAACUAAUAAAUGGCGCAAUUAGAAA